rnacentral:rRNA from 1 species
ACCUGGUCUUGACAUCCCGGAGACCCUUAGGAAACUAGGGGUGCUUCCAUCUGGAAGAAUCUGGAGACAGGUGCUGCAUGGCUGUCGUCAGCUCGUGUCGUGAGAUGUUGGGUUAAGUCCCGCAACGAGCGCAACCCUUGCCUUUAGUUGCCAGCAGUUCGGCUGGGCACUCUAAAGGGACUGCCGGUGUUAAACCGGAGGAAGGUGGGGAUGACGUCAAGUCCUCAUGGCCUUUAUGACCAGGGCUACACACGUACUACAAUGGCCGAUACAAAGGGCAGCGACACUGCGAGGUGAAGCCAAUCCGUAAAAUCGGUCUCAGUCCGGAUUGGAGUCUGCAACUCGACUCCAUGAAGUUGGAAUCGCUAGUAAUCGUGGAUCAGCAUGCCACGGUGAAUACGUUCCGGCCUU